rnacentral:rRNA from 1 species
UACAGAGGGCGCGAGCGUUGUCCGGAAUCACUGGGCGUAAAGGGCGCGUAGGUGGCCACCAUAAGGCCGCGGUGAAAGUCGGGGGCUCAACCCUCGGAUGCCGGUGGAUACUGUCGGGCUUGAGUACGGAAGAGGCGAGUGGAAUUCCGUGGUGUAGCGGUGAAAUGCGCAGAUAUCAGGAGGAACACCAAUUGCGAAGGCAGCUCGCUGGGACGUUACUGACGCUGAGACGCGAAAGCGUGGGGAGCAAACAGG